rnacentral:rRNA from 1 species
GAUGAACGCUGGCGGCGUGCUUAACACAUGCAAGUCGAACGGAAAGGCCCUGCUUUUGUUUGGUGCUCGAGUGGCGAACGGGUGUGUAACACGUGAGUAUCCUGCCCCUGACUUUGGGAUAACUUCUGGAAACUGCGGCUAAUACCGGAUAGGAGCUUCUGCUCCAUAGUGGGGGUAGGAAAGUUUCGGCGGUUGGGGAUGGUCUGGCGGCUUAUCAGCUUGUUGGUGGGGGAGUGCCUUACCAAGGGUUUGACGGGUAGCCGGCAUGGGAGGGGGAACGGCCACAUUGGGACUGAGAUACGGCGCAGACUCCUACGGGAGGCAGCAGGGGGGAAUAUUGCACAAUGGGCGGAAGCCUGAUGCAGCAACGCCGCGUGCGGGAUGACGUCCUUCGGGUUGUAAACCGCUUUGGACUGUGACGAAGCGUGAGUGACGGUAAUGGGUAAAGAAGCACCGGCUAACUACGUG